UACGGAGGGUGCAAGCGUUAUCCGGAUUCACUGGGUUUAAAGGGUGCGUAGGUGGGCAGGUAAGUCAGUGGUGAAAUCUCCGGGCUUAACCCGGAAACUGCCAUUGAUACUAUCUGUCUUGAAUACCGUGGAGGUGAGCGGAAUAUGUCAUGUAGCGGUGAAAUGCUUAGAUAUGACAUAGAACACCAAUUGCGAAGGCAGCUCACUACACGAAUAUUGACACUGGGGCACGAAAGCGUGGGAUCAAACAGG
rnacentral:rRNA from 1 species